CUUAAGUGCAUUUAUUACAUAACUCCCUAUGUAACAAUAUUUAAAGACAGCAUUAUCACUUCUGUACAUUGUGUGUCUUCAAGUGAAAUGUUCCGCUUGUUUUGUACCUGUUUGUCACCAUGUAAUAAAAUAUGAACUUGUGAUCUGCGUGAUGUGUUGACGUAAGGCAGAGUUUAACGUGACAGUGCUUUUAGCUCAAAGACUUCUUUGAUAGACUGAGGUGG